rnacentral:hammerhead_ribozyme from 1 species
AUCUAGCUGACAAGUCCCAAAUAGGACGAAACUUGUGUCCUGGAU